rnacentral:rRNA from 1 species
CCUACGGGCGGCAGCAGUGGGGAAUAUUGGGCAAUGGGCGCAAGCCUGACCCAGCAACGCCGCGUGAAGGAAGAAUGCUUUCGGGUUGUAAACUUCUUUUCUCAGGGACGAAGCAAGUGACGGUACCUGCGGAAUAAGCCACGGCUAACUACGUGCCAGCAGCCGCGGGAAUACGUAGGUGGCAAGCGUUAUCCGGAUUUACUGGGUGUAAAGGGCGUGUAGGCGGGGGCUGAAGUUAGAUGUGAAAACUAGCGGAUGAACCUGUGGACUGCAUUUGAAACUGUGUUUCUUGAGUACAGGAGAGGCAGACGGAAUGCGUAGUGUAGCGGUGAAAUGCGUAGAUAUUAGGAGGAACACCAGUGGCGAAGGCGGUCUGCUGGACAGCAACUGACGCUGAGGCGCGAAAGCGUGGGGAGCAAACAGGAUUAGAUACCCUUGUAGUC